ACCGUCUUCGCGCGGCCCGUCCCGCCCCGGCCACCGUCGCCGGGCCGCCGCCACGUUCCAGAGGAGGGCGGACGGGAAAAGUCGAAAAAGUCCAGCGCCCCGAGGAGGGGUGUUUUCCCCUUUCCCUUUCUCGUGGGUCACUCGGUGUGUGUUUUCUCUUACACCCGCCAUGUACUUUCCUGACCCGCGCAGCAAGGCUGGGGCGCCAACCUUUGUUCGCAAUGAAAAGGAAACGCAUUCAAAUUACGGCCAGACGUUGCCGAGCUUUCAGUCGGCUGGAGGGGAAGUGCUGCUUCUUACAACUGGCUGGCUGGGGAGUCUACACCCUGCUUGUAGUUGAGAAAGAAAAGUGAAGCAAGUGGAAAGUUCUCCCUUCCUGCUCCUACUGAUUCAGCCAGAGGCAAGCGGUCCCUAACCGAGGAAGGAAUGUCUUCUAGGGACGGUCUGUGUGGCCACGCCCUUAUUUCCCUCAGAGAUUCCACAUGUAAGAGAAAACGUGAGACCCGUCUUUCCGAAUCUGGCUUAACAUAAUGAUCUUCACUUCCAUCCAUUUUACUGCAGAUGACAUGAUUUCAUUUUCCUUUAUGGCUGAAUAAUACUCUAUUGUAUAUCUUCUAAGAUUUCUUCUGGAAAAACUGACAUUUUUGGGUGUAAACUUCAUUUCUAAAGGAUUGCAGCUCACCUGAAAUAUAAGACCAAGUCAGAGAAAAACUUACCUUCACUCUGUUUUGAGGAUGUUCAGCUUUCGUUUUAGAAUCCAUCUUAUCUUCUUUCUAUGUUCAAGAAGGUCUUCAUUGUUUCUGCCCAAGGCUUCCUGCAC
ensembl:lncRNA